UAUUACUGAAAUCCUGAAUGACGUAGAAAACUCACAUCAAUCUAAUUUUUUUAUCUUUACAAGAAAUGCUAGAAUGUUAGUGUUCCCUAUUCAAUUCAUAUACAAAGAAAUUUGUGCAACAACUCCAAGCUACACUGGAAUGGAAUCACUAGGGUUAAUAUACACCCAACAAAUCUAAGGCUUUAUAUGUACCUAACCAAUAUAGGGUACUCAAAUCCAAGCAAACCCUUCUUAAUAACAAAAUUUCAACAGGAACACAGCAGAAAGUCUUCCUGCUUGCUCUUGAAAGUAGGAGAGAUCAAUAAUUCCAGAUGAAAUUAAUUCAACCUUCAGUCCAAAAAUAAUAAACAAAUAAUUUAAGCUAAUGUGCCGCUUUUUUUUGGAUAAGAUGUGCUCGUUUCUAAAUCUCCACAAAUUCAUCAAUAAUCUAUACGUAGUCGCCUCAAUUCAGCUUGAAAAGUAGAGCUUGAGGUUAAGGUUCGAUUUGCAAGAGUCUUUAUAUCUUCCCUUGAACAGUCUCGCGAGAUGCGAACCAGUUCCAAAAGUGCACCUCCACUAAUCAUGUCUUUGGCAUUUACUUCUGCAAUUUAGUAAAAUCAAAGCCAUCUUGGCUUUCUGAUGACAUUCAAUGACAGAUCAGCUUAUUCAAUAUCUAUAAAAAGAAGCAAACUUACCAUGUUGUGCUAAGUGGCAGAGUGCAAGCUCUAUAUGGCGCCUGAUUUGUGAGGCUUCAUUGUUAGCAUUCUGUACAAUCCAUGGAAGAGCACCAUCCACAAUCAGAAGAGACUUUCCAUUCUUAGUUCCUGUACCAUUUAAUACUUGUUCAAUAUUAGACCUCACAUAAGUAUCAUUUUUAACCAGAUAUUCAAAUUUAGAAUUCAACAUGGCACAGACCAAGACUAGAUGUGAAGUUGCGAACUUAAUGGGAAAAUGUUAAUGUUAGUUUAACAUUUAAUUGCAUGACAAGCAGAGACAAUUCUGUAGAUUACAAACAGCAACGCUGACAAACUUCAAUAAAGCCUCUUUUCUAAAGUAAUACCUUGAGUUGAUGCUCUUGACUCGCAUUUUGCAAAAUUUGCUAUUCCACGAGCAACUUGUGCAAGAACAUCAGGAUGCCUGCACUUAACCAUUCCUAGCAAAGCCUUGAUGCCGCCUUCACCUCUUAGCUUCAUUUGUAACUUAUCAUUUCCACAAAGAUUGGCUAUGGCUCCAGCAACCAUUCGAAGUGUUUGAGGAUCCUCAGCAUUGGCUGCUGUCAUGGACAAUAAACGAAUGCCCCCUUGAGUCAUUAUGAGCUCUUGGUUGGUUUCAUUCAUUGCAAGAUUGGCAAUUGCACCAGCUGCUACUCGAUGUAUGGUCUCAUCCUCAGAGCUUCUUAGCAGCGUCAACAGAGAGGUAAGACCACCAGCUUCUACAAUCUUCUCUUGAUUUGUUUCUUCAGCUGCUAGAUUUGCUACAACUUUCACAGCAUGAAUUCGCACGUCGGCAUCUUCUGAUUCAAGCAAUGAUAGGAUCUUACUCAAUCCAACUUGUUCAAAGAGUUUAGCUAUUGAAGCCUUCUCCCCAUUUCCUGUAUCAUUCAGAUGUGGAUGUCUUAGCUGAGACAUUUGAGAAUCUAAACCACCAUGAAUUUUCUCAGACCAACCCUUAUCAAGUCUUCUUCUUGUCUAAAAGACACACAAUAAUCAGGCUUCAGAAUUUAGAUAUUAAGUGGUCACAUUUUUACAUGUGCUAUGCACAUAACAUUAUAGGUGAUCACUCAUUGGCCAAUAAUAAGAAUGCCUAAAAUUUUUAAACCUAACAUAUCAAAAUAGGGAAAAUAUAUCAUUGAUCACUGAUUUCUUUAGUUUAAAAAAGGCUGCUUACUCCUGCAGUAUUGCAGGGUCAAUUCUCAACAUCUAUCACUUAUGGAGAAUUUGGCAUAUUAACAUCUUCAAUCUGAAAAAACUGUGAGAGCACUCAACAACAAUCUAUUCCAUAAAAGUUAUGAUUUCCAAUCUAAUUGAUAUUUAAAGAAUACAUCUGAUGCAGGACAGCUAAGAAGAGUUUUUAUGAAAAAAGAUCAAAUCUGAAAAUGGUAGAACUAAAGAAAUCUGGAAGAGAAAGACAGGAUUUGAGUGGCUGAAAUCUGCAAUUAUUUGCAGAAUUUCAGAUCUGGUUUUACCGUGCAAAGAGGAUAAAAAAAUAAAGAUUCUAAGCUUCACAUUAGAAUUCCUUAGGCAUCAAGCCCCUGCUCAUAAAUCCUAGUGCUGAUCCUGCAGUAAAUACUUAAUAUAAUUCUCAUAUGAAGUUCCCUUGCUGUCCGGAUCAGAGUACAAUAGAAUUCCAGGUUCCUUGUUACACGGUAUUGGAGGAUCUCUUAGAAGCAACUAAUGUUUUCACUAAGCCACAAUGUACUAACAUUUCCAAGGAAGCAUACCUCAUCAGCCUCAAAACUUAUUUGUAACAACUGACUUUGUAGCAUUGCUAUUUCUCCUUCAAGUUUUUCUUUCUGGCGUGCCUCAUCUUCCAGCAUCUUGCGAAGAUUUAAAAUCUCAGAAUUUCCCAAUGCCUCUGACUUCUUUGAUUGAGCUAGCUGACUUUUAAGGUUAUCAACUUCCUCUUCGGCAAUCUUCCUCAAGAGUGCUUCCUUCUGAAGCAAUUUUUUUAUCUCAGCAACUUCCUCCACCACAGCUACCCCAGAAUCCUCUCCCUUAGAAGUCACAUCAGAGCCAUCAUCUUUGAGUCCAACCAUGUUUUCAUCACUAGCAUGUCUUUGCUGGUUCAUCAUCCAUUUCUCUUCUAGCUUCUUUAUUGAAUCCAUACACUCUUUCUGAUAUUUUACUCUUUCUUUCUCUAAUGCAUCUGCAUAGUUCCUUUCAACCUCAGAAAUCUGAUUUUGUGCUUCUAUUGUUAUUCUUUCAAUUUCCUCCUCAAAUGCUUUCUGUUGCCUUUCAUGAUCUGCAAUGAGUUUGUCCAAUUGUAUAUCUAGCCGUCUAGCCAAACUUUUGUAAUCGAAUUCUUCCUUUAAUUUCAACAUAUUCUCCACCUUCAUUGCCCUUUGUCCAAACAUUAUAGUACUUGCUGUCUCUCCUCGAUGACGUGGGGAUGGACCAAUAGUAAUAACCAGUGAAGUUCUUGCUGUCCCUCCAAAUGAAUCUCGAAGCAAUCUAGUAAGCUUCGAAUCACGAACUGGGACAUGUGGACUAUUUUCUGCCAGUGCAUUAAUACAUUUCCCUAGUGCACUCAAGGAGAGAUUAAUAGAUUUGGCCUCCUCUAGCGUGUGCCCCUCACUUCCAGACUUAUCAAUACGCUCUGAACCAGCAAGAUCUACCACAACAAGCUUGCCUUUCCGAACAACUGGAGGCUUCAGACUUUUAACCAUGUGGGAGUUGUUGCCAUUGUCACUUGAAAGAGCAGAGUCUCUUCCCUUGACAGACCUCUUUACAUGCACCUACAGUAUUUUAGACAUCUAUUAAUGUUUUACUCAAAUAGACAUGCAAAAGCUCUAGCAAUUUCUCUUGAGUUCUUAGCUUCUUCAAAAGAACUAAAUCAUAAAAUAGGAAAAUAUCAUUUAGUUCACCAUCAGAAUAGCAUGACUACGAGAAGAUUCAGUAUUCAAUUUUGUAUUAGCAGCAAUUCUAUGAGCUUCUCCUAAUCUCAGCAGCUCCACAAAACUAUGCCGGUCCCUGAUUUCUACAAGAGUUGCUCCAGGUAGGGAAACAUCACCAGUUUUUGGAUCCUCCACAAUGGCAAUAUUAUCAUUAGCUGGAUCAAGAAGGUCCUGGAUGCUCUCCAUAUAAAGCUGCAAAUAUGAGACUGAGAUAGAAUCAGACUCCAGAGAAACAUCUGCUAAAAUGUCCUCCAUUGCACGAACCAUGAUCCCGCGAGCUGAUGUAUCAUCAUCUCCAAGGUACCCCACAGUAAAAGUUUUGCCAGUACCAGUCUGACCAUAUGCCAUCACAGUGCCGUUGUAACCAUCCAGAACACUCUCUACAACAGGCUUAGCAACAACUUCAUAAACACGCUUCUGCGAUGCAAAUUCAGUAAGCACCUCGUCAAACUCAUAAGUGUCCGAGUCCCAAUUGUUUUUUCUUAGUUUCAACCUCUUAAGCUCUGGCUGCAAUUCCACACAAUCAGCAAAAUCAGCAUCUGCCACCAAUUCUUCCGCAUUUCGCGGCCGCAAUCUUACUGCUACUCGUACUCUUCCAGGUACUCCAUCAUCUCCCACAGCGUUGGCGUUCGGACUGAAGGAAUUGCGUCGAAGGACGGCUCCCGAUGAGUGUGACGGAUGGAUUCUGGAUUUAAAAGAGGAUGAUUUGAGAUUUGAAGCAAUAGGUUUUGAUGCUCCCUUUGGAGUGCCAUUUCUAUAAGUACUCGAAGCCAUUUCUUUCUCGCUUCUUCUUCCUUGCUGAAAUGGUAAAAACUAACAUUACAGAGAGAAUGAUUGAGGAGAGUGCUGCCCAGAUUUGAAGUGUGUCUGCGGUUCGAUGGAUUCCAAGCUCAAAACAAAAGUCAUGAUUGCAAGAGACAGAGACGGUCGCGGCAGGCUUCGAAAUUUACGAUUUUUUUUUUUU
rnacentral:misc_RNA from 1 species